GACGAACGCUGGCGGCGUGCUUAACACAUGCAAGUCGAACGGUAAGGCCCUUCGGGGUACACGAGUGGCGAACGGGUGAGUAACACGUGGGUGAUCUGCCCUGCACUUUGGGAUAAGCCUGGGAAACUGGGUCUAAUACCGGAUAGGACUCCGGACUGCAUGGUCUGGGGUGGAAAGCUUUUGCGGUGUGGGAUGGGCCCGCGGCCUAUCAGCUUGUUGGUGGGGUGAUGGCCUACCAAGGCGACGACGGGUAGCCGGCCUGAGAGGGUGACCGGCCACACUGGGACUGAGAUACGGCCCAGACUCCUACGGGAGGCAGCAGUGGGGAAUAUUGCACAAUGGGCGCAAGCCUGAUGCAGCGACGCCGCGUGAGGGAUGACGGCCUUCGGGUUGUAAACCUCUUUCAGCAUCGACGAAGCGAAAGUGACGGUAGGCGCAGAAGAAGGACCGGUCAACUACGUGCCAGCCGCCGCAGUAA
rnacentral:rRNA from 1 species